rnacentral:rRNA from 1 species
CCUACGGGAGACAGCCGUGGGGAAUAUUGGGCAAUGGAGGCAACUCUGACCCAGCAACGCCGCGUGAAUGAUGAAGGUCUUCGGAUUGUAAAGUUCUGUGAUGGGGGAUGAACACAAUGACGGUACCCCAAUAGCAAGCCACGGCUAACUACGUGCCAGCAGCCGCGGUAAUACGUAGGUGGCAAGCGUUAUCCGGAAUGACUGGGCGUAAAGGGGGCGUAGGUGGUUUAGUAAGUUGGCGGUGUAAUUCCGGGGCUCAACCUCGGCGCUACCGCCAAAACUAUUAGACUAGAGUGCAGGAGGGGUAAGUGGAAUUCCUAGUGUAGCGGUGGAAUGCGUAGAUAUUAGGAGGAACAUCAGGGGCGAAGGCGACUUACUGGACUGUAACUGACACUGAGGCACGAAAGCGUGGGGAGCAAACAGGAUUAGAUACCCCAGUAGUC